CUUGACUUUUAUAGUCAGUUAACUCACUUGCCUCGGGAAGAUGAAUGGGAAUAUGAUGUUUGAUUUAAAAUAUGUUUUGUCCUCUUUUGUUUGCAUUUUGUAAAUGUUUUUGUCUCAAGGUUUGUUUCAGGAAAUUAAUACAUCAAACCUGAUGGAAAAAAAAUCCAUUAUUUUACUUCCAGAUUCUUGGUAUAUUGAUAGAAAACAAAUUGGCCUGGCCUAGGUAUAUAAGCUCAGUCUGUUAUAUAUUAUUAAUAUGGCACUAUUGCAUCUAUAUUGUUUUGUCGUAACAUGUUAUAUUAUGUGGGGACCAUUUUCAUAUUAUUGCCUGACUAGUUCUCCUUGUUUAAAGCUUUCUAUGCUACUCAAAAGAAAUUAAAGAACACUGGAUUCUUUCACAUUACUAUAGUUAAUUUGUCAUGACAUGACAGACUUACUGUAGUAUAAAAUAAGCACUUCCUUAACUUCUUUUGAGUAGAAAGUAAUCAGAUUACAACGAAACUGACAAAUGACAGAUUUGGAGAGUGAUUCCUUCUGCACAUUUUUAAAAAAAAAGUUUGUGUGGUUUUUUUCUAAAGCUUGUCACCAUAUGAAGGAACAUGAAUCCUGCCUCCCACUUCACUGGUCCAUCCAGCAUUAUGUUCUGUAUAGAGGAGCCAAUCUGGAGACACGCACGCACUAUCUCGAGAGUUUUAUUUUACUGGUUGUGAAUGGGUAUUAUUUCAGUAGGAUAGAUGUUUAUUAUGAAGUUAUGAGGAGUGAUUGUUCAUCUUGGAAUGGUCUUUUGUAUAGGGAGGUCGCCUUUGUGGAUUGGGGCGUUGCCUCUGUGGAUAGAGGAGGUGCCUUUUGUAAAUUGGAAUGUCGCCUUUGUGGAUAAGGACGGUGCCCCUGUAUAUUGGGAUGUUGCCUUUGUGUAUGGGGAAGGCAUCUUUCUACUGUAAGAGUCCCGCUGUAUGAGAAUGGCAUUUUUGUACAGGCUUGUGUCUUGGUAUUUGGAGAAAGUCUUUUUGUACAAGUGAGGGUCUUUAUGUACAGGUGAAGGUUCAUUGUACGCACAUGGCCUCCGUGGCACUAAGGAUGGUCUCGGUACUGUUUCCUGAAUGGGGACUAUUUGUUCGUGGACAGUCGUACCGUACCCUGCUACUCAGGGUCCACCUCUGCUGUACAUCUGUUGGACACGUAUUGAUGGCAGCUCACCAAGUACCUUACUUCACUUCUCAGGCUACAGAAAGUGUACAUGCAGGUAGAUUUAGCUCUAAUUUGUGGUGAUAUUUGAACAUCGAUGAGCACAACCUCGAGACACUUCUAUCAGGGACAUGAGACUCUCCCUGUUGUCUCCUCGAACUGUUGCUGCACGCACACCUGAUACUGGUCUUGCUCCGUACAUUGGCAGUACCUUCAUGUUCUUAUUUGUAGUGGAUGCGGUGUUUUAUUUUGGAAGCUUCAAAUUGCCUGGUUUGGUAGGCAUGUGUUUCAUGACUACUCAAUAAGAGAACGCCUGAUUCUUUCAUAUUAUAGCCAAAAUCAGACCCUGGGUCAGAACAGAGCAUGGCCAUGUGCCGAUCCAUCGAACUCAAAUGGAUCUAACCUCAUCUCGCUUUACGUCAUAGUAAAAAAAAUCGUGGCAUGACAGUGUGUUUGUUGUUUAACGCCACACUCUGCAAUAUUUCAUCUAUAUGACGGCGGUCUGAAAUAUAAUUGAGUCUGGACCAGACAAUCCAGUGAUUGACAUCGUGAGCAUCGAUCCACGCAAUUGGGAUCGAUGACAUGCAUUAACAAAGUCAACAAACUUGACCUACCGAUCCCGUUAGUCGCCUCUUACGACAAGCAUAGUUGCCUUUUAAGGCAAGCAUUCUACUCCGGGUCGGAGAGAUAAGCUAUAGUAAUAUGAAAGAAUUUGGUGUUCUUUAACUUCUUUUGAGUAGUAUAUUAUGUAUGCUUCACAAGCUAUGGUAAAGUCUUUAAUCUAUGUCAAGUUUAUGUCACUUUGCGUCGUCUACAGGGACGCAGUGGAAAUGCGAUAAGUCUUGAAACUUUUGUUUUUUUCUUUUCUUUGAGGUUGGUUAAUUUGGCAGAUUCACCUGGGUUUGUCCCAUGGUGUCAUUAUUAUUUGUAUAAGUCAAGGAACCAACAGCAGGUUAUUGUUUCACGACAUUAAUGAUAAGUUAUGCAUAUUCUCUCAAUCACAUUUCAUCUACUCCUUUCUUUUACAUAUUUGAUUUUGUGUGUGUGUUAAAGCCGAAAUUUUGUGUGUUUUUUUGUCACCUGUUGAUUUAUUUGUUGGAGAUGAGGCUUGGACAGGAACACCUCACAGUGUUGGCUUGUGAUGAGGGACACCAUGGAAGCCAUCUCACACAGCUGAUCAGUCUGGACACUGACUCGGUGACUAAAUAGUUGAUCACUGUAUUCUUCGUACAAUAUUAGAGUGGUGGUUAGUCUAUACUGUUGUUUAUGUGUGUUAGCAAUCUUAACCAGAGUAACGAUUCUGUGACAUUACAUCAACGCAGUAUAUUACUGUACACCAAGGUCCUGAAACAAGAUCCUCAAUUUCUAUUUCAAUUUCAAUUUGACGGCAUUAGGACAAUGUGUGUGACAGACUCACGUAUGUCACAUCGUGUGGCAGUGGAGUAGCCAGGUGGUAGAGGAAGUGGUCGAUUUCCCACAUUGGCACAUUACCCAUUCAAACAUUAUAAUAUUUUUUCAUCUUGUGACAAUGAAGAAUGAGGUCGUCCCAGUUAUUGGACACAAUGACUGGUUGGGCAGUCAGUGUCGGAACUGAACAGUGUUAAGAUCUGAAACCGUCAAUGAUUGUUUUAUGGUGUCACUGAUGAGUGUAUAUAUUUCUUGUAUUACUGCUAUGCAGCGGCCAUUAUUAUCCUGCGGGCAUGACAGUUCAAAAUGGAAAAGUGUCCAGUUUUUAUAAAACUCAUCACAGAAGCAACAAGGCAGACUGUCAUAUCUGGGAAUGACAAUGACCGUUACCAUUUAUAAGCAGAUAUUGUCCUCAUAUUUCCUGCCAUGUACAUAUAUUUACAUUUGCUAUGAUACAAACAUGUAAAUAUCUAUUUGAAAGCAUUGGAAAGUAUGUAAGGGAGACAACUCAGGUGUUAUCGAUUUGACUGGAAACCUGCAUUAGAGAUGAGAUUUAGAUCUAGCCUGGGCAUCUAGUACAAGCUUCUUCAUCGCCUACAGGUAUUUGUGUUGCUGUGAACAUAUCUGUUGGUCAGUGUUAUUUAUGAAAGUGUUUGUAGAUCUUUCCUGAAAAAUGAUCAUGGACAAAUGACUGAUAGUUUAAAUGCUGUUUAGACAGAAUAUUGAAAACAUAUAGUCUGUUUACAGAAGAUAACAUAAAGCAGUACUGGUACCUGAGUGUUUCAUCAUUGCUGUUCAUAUCAUGUGCCAAUGUAUGUCAUUUACAAUAUCAAAUAUUCUGCAUAUCCCCCCAAAUAUUGGAAGAUAUUAUUAUUUACUUAUAUAUGUAUUGAAGAUAAUUUCUAUAUACACACAUAUUUACACAACUUUAUGAGCCGAUGUAUGGUUUAGAUCUUCAGUGAUAUUGCCUCUUCCUGAUACUCCCAUCCAUAUGGACCUAUUGCCUGGUGUGUACUCUAGUCAUUAUCUAGCCAUGAUCUAGUCACAUGGUGGAUGUACUUGUUGCAGAGGGGUGUGUGCUCUAGUCAUUAUCUAGCCAUGAUCUAGUCACAUGGUGGAUGUACUUGUUGCAGAGGGGUGUGUGCUCUAGUCGUUUUCUAGUCAUGAUCUAGUCACAUGGUGGAUGUACUUGUUGCAGAGGGGUGUGUGCUCUAGUCAUUUUCAAGCCAUGAUCUAGUCACAUGGUGGAUGUAACCUUUGCAUGAAUGGAGUAUAUUUCCUCUUCCAACGACUUUGAAACAUUUGGAACCCGAUCAUCAGAUGUUCUGUAUAUCCUCUGUCAAGGGCCGGGUCUAGGGUUAAGGUCUUGAAAACUGAGCUUGGCCCUAAGGGACGGAUCGGUAACUUGUUGAUCAUUUUUUCUUCCCUUUGCAUUUAAAUAUCAAUGAACUGGCUAACCUCUAAGAUGGGCCUUUAAUAUGGCCCGGGUCCUAAAGUAUGCCAGGGCCCAAGGUCUCAAUAGAGGAAAUGUGGUACAUGGUAUUGAUGGGCUUUCAAAUAUAUAUAACAAAAUCAAAUUUGUGCACACGAAGUUCUAUGGAGUAUUUGCACUGACUUCUUUGGGUUCUAUUGAUGCAAUUGCUGUUCCAGGCAAAUCUACAAUCAUGUUCUCGUCCCCAUUUUAAGAAUUUUCUUUUUGAUGGAGACUUUUUUUCAAAAUGUGUUACACCUUUGUCUAUUCACUUUCCUAGUCACUACGUAUUUAUUUGUAUACACUCUUCACAUAGGAAUAAUACAACUAUAUGACACUAACCUAGUAUAUACAUUUCUCACUAAUGGCAUACAGGUCUAAGAUAUACUUCAUGGCACCAAUUGGAUUACAACCCAACUGUCCAUUGUAGUCCCGAUCGAUGCAACUGUGUAUGAGUGCCAUUGUGUAUUUGAAAUGCUGUCGUUAGCAACACUAUCAUUGUCUUGACAAGAUUGAUGUGUAAGUGGGAGCUGUCAGUAGCAACACUGUCAUUGUGUCAUGACAAGGUUGAUGGUGGGAGCUGUCGGUGGCAACACUAUCAUUGUGUCAUGACAAGGUUGAUGGUGGUAGCUGUCGGUGGCAACACUGUCAUUGUGUCAUGACUAGGUUGAUGGUGGGAGUUGUCGGUGGCAACACUAUCAUUGUGUCAUGACAAGGUUGAUGGUGGGAGCUGUCGGUGGCAACACUAUCAUUGUGUCAUGACAAGGUUGAUGGUGGUAGCUGUCGGUGGCAACACUGUCAUUGUGUCAUGACUAGGUUGAUGGUGGGAGUUGUCGGUGGCAACACUAUAUUGUGUCAUGACAAGGUUGAUGUGUAUGUGUGAGCUGUAGUCAGAAGUAUCCUGUGAGGAAUAAGUAUGUGUUUUUGCCAGCGCGUGCCUUGCCAUACCUAGUCACAUGUGUGGGUGUCUGCAGCUGAGUAACGAUGUCGUAUCUGUAGCUGUUUGAGAUGUUGAAUGUUGAUAUUGUCAGCAAGAAGAUGUUUGUUAUGAAAGUUUAGAUCACUGUGAACUUACAGCUACUGCAAACAAUGAGCUUUGGCCUAAAGCCUUUGGCAUGAGAUAAGAAUGAGCUUGUACCAUAUUUCUAGUUUAAAAUAUCACUUUUGUUAGUUACACCAGGGAUAACUGUAAGAAUAUCUGUUGAUGCAUGGAAGUAUGCCACUGGGAUUUUUGUUUGAUCAACUGACGCUGGUGUUAUUUUAAAAAUGUAAUUCAGAAGAAACCCUGUCCCUUAUGAUCAUUUGAAAUUUGCCAUAGGCACUCUUAAUAAGGGGAUGUAACUCUUUGUAUAAGGGAGAUAAUUCUCACACGAGGCAAAAUACCAGGUCAGUUAUCUACUUAGUUUUAUUACCUCAUAUCCACCAUGUCAACUUGAGAAUGUCAUACCCUGCAUUUGUACACAGUAGUAGUUAACUUCUCUUUAAAUGUUAGGCAAGACUCUCUUUGUUAAUGGAUUACUCCAACACCCCAAAAAUGAUCAGCAAAAACAAUAGAAUAUAUGUUUUCUGCCAAUUGCAAACUGUUCCAUCAUAAAUACGUUAUUCAUAUGAUAGUUUAAACAGCAUCAGCGAGAUAAGCUUAAGUACAUUUGUUUAUUGGUGGUUGUUUUUUCCCCGCCUACCCACCAGGACUUUUUCUAAAAAUUAUCUGUAGACCAAAGUCACCUUAUAGAAAGAUGUGAAUUGUUAGAUGAUGCUGCGGCCAUGGUGUGCUCAUGGCUGUCAUUUAAGACUUGUUAGUUAGUUUGGCCAGAAAAUGAUCCUAGGGACGUAUUGUCAGCAAGAUUCAGUGUCACAGGGGAACACCGUAGGACACUUGCUUUACCUCAAAUCUGCCAUGGAGAACACAGACUUCUCAACUGAGAGUGGGUUCACCACAUUAAUCAAAACUGUAUGUUUAAUCAAAUUGAUUUGUGUUAAAUGAUGGAUCAGACACAUGUUCAAAUUAUAUAUAUACUGCUCAAUAGAAGUUAAGGACCACUCCAUUUUUCCUAUGACUAUAUAUAGUCAAUCGGUCAUGGCUGGUGGGUAUUGCAACACAGCCUUCCCAUCAUGGGUGUUCUUUAACUUGUUUUGAGUAGUAUAUUUCUCUUAUUCUCAGUGGCAGAUUUCUAAUACAGUGCUCUUACCCUUCAUUUUGUUGAAGUAGUCUUUAUGACUGCAGUGAAUGUGAAUCUAUGUGAUGUUAACUUGUAUCAGGUCUGUUGUUGCAAUAAACAUGAUAGUUUCUGGAA